AACACUGGAAAUGAAUGAGACACCUUCUUCUCCAAUAUCUCGAAAGAGUAUUGAGGCUCAAGUUUUUUCUCCAAUUUAGAAACAGCAGACGGUAACAGAGGGAACGUAUGAGGCUACACAGCCAUUGACUGAGAUCAUUUCAGCAAACAAUAAAAAGGAGGAUACACAUGCUGUGCAUCACACACCUUCCUCUCCAUUGUCUUCACUAAUUGCACUAGUUAUUAAAGAAAAUAAGAAUGCUUU